CUCCCCAACGCACCCCCUCUCUCUUCUUCUCUUUUCCUUUUCCUUCUCUUUUCUUCCUUCUCCCUCCUCUGUAGCCGCACACAGCAGCCCCUCCCUAUUUCUCUCUUCCCCUUCUUCACACAAGUUGAGAGAGAGUAGACCGAGACUGAGAGAGUGAGACACGGAGAUGGAGAGACCUGUGUGAGGACCCGAUCGGUGGGUCAGCGACGGCGGAACCAAACGAUGCCGGCGACGCGAGUUCUGGCCCAUUCUACCGGUGGGGACUCUGGUGGUACUUAGGACCUGAUUUCCGGCGGAACCCAUGUACUUGGACCCGCGACCCGUGAGCCGAACCCGAGAACCCGUGUGACCCGAUCUUUCGGUGGUGAAGUCCGAUGCGAUUUCCGACAGCCAGAGCUGAAAUCCGGCAGUCCUAGUAGCGGUUUCCGGCGAGUCGUGACCUGCAUGUGAGCGAAACUCGUGCAGCCCAAAACCUGUGACCCGCUGAACCCAUGUGGAGACCCGAUUCUCCAUGUGUGUUUUCCGGCGGAAACAAUGACGAUUUCCGGUGGAUUCUUGAGGAAAAUCCCCAAGGCUUGUGUCGUGAUUGGAGAUGUAGACUUGUUCUCCAAUGUAGAGUUCGAGUAAUUGGAAUCCAGUGGAAGUUCGAGUCAGGAGUCUAAUGCAGCCAAGAUGAUGUUUCUUUGGCUACAGGUAUUUCGGUAUAGUUGAUGAAUUAGUAGCAAUGUGCUUGGGAUAUUAUGACUGAAGCUUGCCGCGACGGUUGUAAUUGUCGGACCACGGGCUGUCCACUAUUUGAUAGGUUUGGUAUGGCUUGUGACGUUUGUGUCACUUAUUCUUUGUUAAACCAUAUUGAUAUGUAAGUAUAAUGUUAAUAAGACUCAAACAGAUAGAUGUUAAAUGGCUCUUCGUUGUAAUUAAUUUGUGAUAGAUGUAUAAGUUAUAAUUUCCGCUA